rnacentral:rRNA from 1 species
UACGAAGGGGGCUAGCGUUGUUCGGAAUUACUGGGCGUAAAGCGCGCGCAGGCGGCUAUCCAAGUCAGUGGUGAAAGCCCGGAGCUCAACUCCGGAACUGCCAUUGAAACUGUUUAGCUUGAGGAUGAGAGAGGUGAGUGGAAUUCCCAGUGUAGAGGUGAAAUUCGUAGAUAUUCGGAAGAACACCAGUGGCGAAGGCGACUUACUGGACACAUAUUGACGCUGAGGUGCGAAAGCGUGGGGAGCAAACAGGG